CACCCUAGACCAGGGUUCCCCAAUUAGUUUUUCCAGAGGGCCAAAUUUGGUCAAACAUGCCAUGCCAAGGGCCGAAAUGUCGUUUCAUUUUUCUAAUUCGCCAUUUUUAUGUGCAAAUUUAGCUUUAAUUAUAAGUACUGUUUUAGCGAUAAUGCAGGAGGGCUAGAUCAAUUAGGUUUAAAUAGCAUCCAGGAAUGGUGCAUCGAUGAGAAUGCAAGGAAUGAGGAGGACGAGGAGACGUAGCUUGCUUCAGACUAUAUUAUGUUCAGCCUUGUUUAUUUAAAUACUCGGUAAUGUCUUUCAGUUUCUAUAAAACAACAGCGCAGUUUGUUUAUUUUGCCUGAGUAUCUGAGCAUACACCCCGUGCAUGACUUCAAUCUUUACCACAACCACAGCUCUGCUUGAUCUACCCAUAUAAAUAAAGGAAACAAAGUAA